AUUUGCUAUAUGAUUGCAGCUAUGAAAAAAGGGAAGGAGACGUCCAGGACUGAACAGCUGUCACCUGUCACAGUGCAGUGCACCGACUGACUGACGCUAUUUGCUUGGAUGUUGCUGAAAGAAAGGAGGCAUUCUUCAUUGUGCAGCACUAGCCUACUGUGGAGGCCGAGAGAGUUUUGACGAGGCUUCUGUACCCAGGAGGCGGAGGCAGCAAUGCCAGCUUCAAUGCGCACAGUCCUUUAAAAGGGACACCCAGCUAAGAUUUUAUUGCAAAUUCUACACAGAAUGCACUGCUCUACACAUUUGGUUUUGGAAACACUGUGUAUUAUUGUAAGUGUACACCAGGGGUGGGGAACCUUUUUCAUUUGAAGGGCCACUUCAAAUUACUCUGAGGGCCGUGAAAGUCCUCAGAGGGCCGUACAAUUAACACAAAGGAUUUCCCCCUGCACUCUAGGCCUAUAUGGAAUGCAGCCACCUUAAAACAGACCUUAACUUCUAUAUGUCCCCUGAAUGUAACUUUCAUUGUAUUGCAAAUGUUUCUUUUACAAAAUAUGCCAUAUUUCAUAUGAAGCUGCAUAAUAUUAAAAUUGUCUCAGGGGCUGGAUAAAACGGCCUCAAGGGCCGCAAACGGCCCUCCAGACAUAGGUUCCCCACCCCUGGUUUACACCAAUACAGCAAAUUCAUGGUGACACUACAAUGACCUCAGCUAUUUGGUUGUUUCUAGUGUUUAGGUACUGUCACAAAGCAGUCUUACAAACACAUUUAUUUAUCUCUGUAUCAACAUUGAGGU